AGUGAACGCUGGCGGUAGGCCUAACACAUGCAAGUCGAACGGCAGCACAGUAAGAGCUUGCUCUUACGGGUGGCGAGUGGCGGACGGGUGAGGAAUACAUCGGAAUCUACUUUUUCGUGGGGGAUAACGUAGGGAAACUUACGCUAAUACCGCAUACGACCUACGGGUGAAAGCAGGGGAUCUUCGGACCUUGCGCGAUUGAAUGAGCCGAUGUCGGAUCAGCUAGUUGGCGGGGUAAAGGCCCACCAAGGCGACGAUCCGUAGCUGGUCUGAGAGGAUGACCAGCCACACUGGAACUGAGACACGGUCCAGACUCCUACGGGAGGCAGCAGUGGGGAAUAUUGGACAAUGGGCGCAAGCCUGAUCCAGCCAUACCGCGUGGGUGAAGAAGGCCUUCGGGUUGUAAAGCCCUUUUGUUGGGAAAGAAAAGCAGCAGGUUAAUACCCCGCUGUUCUGACGGUACCCAAAGAAUAAGCACCGGCUAACUUCGUG
rnacentral:rRNA from 1 species